GCCCCUAUCGUCUAGUGGCCCAGGACGCCGCCCUCUCACGGCGGUAACGCGGGUUCAAAUCCCGCUGGGGGUACGA
rnacentral:tRNA from 2 species